rnacentral:rRNA from 1 species
AGAGUUUGAUUAUGGCUCAGGAUGAACGCUAGCUACAGGCUUAACACAUGCAAGUCGAGGGGUAGCAGGGUAGCAAUACCGCUGACGACCGGCGCACGGGUGAGUAACACGUAUCCAACCUUCCCAUAACUCAGGGAUAGCCUUUCGAAAGAAAGAUUAAUACCUGAUAGUACUUUUUCAAGGCAUCUUAGAAAAAGUUAAAGAUUUAUUGGUUAUGGAUGGGGAUGCGUUCCAUUAGAUAGUUGGUGAGGUAACGGCUCACCAAGUCUUCGAUGGAUAGGGGUUCUGAGAGGAAGGUCCCCCACAUUGGUACUGAGACACGGACCAAACUCCUACGGGAGGCAGCAGUGAGGAAUAUUGGUCAAUGGGCGAGAGCCUGAACCAGCCAAGUAGCGUGAAGGAAUGAAGGUCCUAUGGAUUGUAAACUUCUUUUAUAGUAGAAUAAAGUGAGCCACGUGUGGUUUUUUGUAUGUAUACUAUGAAUAAGGAUCGGCUAACUCCGUGCCAGCCGCUGC